rnacentral:rRNA from 1 species
GGCGUGCCUAACACAUGCAAGUCGAGCGGGACAUACGACGGAACCAAAGUUUCGGAUGGAGGUGAAGAUGUAUGUUCUAGCGGCGGACGGGUGGAGUAACGCGUGAGCAACCUGUCCCGUUACAGGGGGAUAACACAGCGAAAGUUGUACUAAUACCGCAUGAGACCACGAUGGGACAUCCCAUAGGGGUCAAAGGAGCAAUCCGGUAAGGGGUGGGCUCGCGUCCGAUUAGAUAGUUGGUGAGGUAACGGCCCACCAAGUCGACGAUCGGUAGCCGACCUGAGAGGGUGAUCGGCCACAUUGGGACUGAGACACGGCCCAAACUCCUACGGGAGGCAGCAGUGGGGAAUAUUGGACAAUGGGGGAAACCCUGAUCCAGCCGACGCCGCGUGAGUGAAGAAGUAUUUCGGUAUGUAAAGCUCUAUCAGCAAGGAAGAUAAUGACGGUACUUGACUAAGAAGCCCCGGCUAACUACGUGCCAGCAGCCGC